CUAGCAGGUCACCUUAUCGCUGCGUGCUGGACUUGUUUCAGUACCUAUUUAGAUAUUGUUGAAAUAUAUAAGAGGUCCCGAAUCAAGUUUGGGAUGUAGAGGAAAGUCCGGACACCAUAGUGCAGUAUAGCGGGUAACACCCGUCUCCCGCCUCGGCGGGACGGACAAGUGCAACAGAAAGUAUGUACAGGUUAUGCUGUAGUGAAACCAGGUAAACUCUAUACGGUGAAACGUCAUGUAAAUCAGUGUUCGAGGGUUGCACGCCCGAGCUGAAGGGUAGGCGGUUAGAGCCUUUGGGCAACCAAAGGUCAAGAUAAAUGAUAAGGGGGGUCUUACGACCUUACAGAAUCCGGCUUAUGGCCUGCUUUUUUA
rnacentral:RNase_P_RNA from 1 species